rnacentral:rRNA from 1 species
GACGAACGCUGGCGGCGUGCUUAACACAUGCAAGUCGAACGAUGAAGUUCCUUCGGGAAUGGAUUAGUGGCGAACGGGUGAGGAACACGUGAGAAACCUGCCUUUCAUUUUGGGAUAACUCCGGGAAACCGGGGCUAAAACCGAAUACUCCGUCUCGGCGGCAUCGCUGAGCCGGGAAAAAAUUUUGAUGAAAGAUGGUCUCGCGGCCUAUUAGCUAGUUGGUGAGGUAAUGGCUCACCAAGGCAACGACGGGUAGCCGGCCUGAGAGGGCGACCGGCCACACUGGGACUGAGACACGGCCCAGACUCCUACGGGGGGCAGCAGUGGGGAAUAUUGGGCAAUGGGCGCAAGCCUGACCCAGCGACGCCGCGUGAGGGAUGAAGGCCUUCGGGUUGUAAACCUCUUUCAGUAGGGAAGAAGCGAAAGUGACGGUACCUAAAGAAGAAGCACCGGCUAACUAUGUGCCAGCCGCCGCAGUAA